GAUAAACGCUGGCGGCGUGCUUAACACAUGCAAGUCGAACGAAGUGUUUCUUUCUUUAGGGACUUAGUGGCUGACGGGCGAGUAACGCGCGGGUAACUUGCCCUGUACAGGGUGACAGCAGCUGUAAACGGCUGCUAAUACCGCAUAGGCCGGUAGCACUGCAUGGUGCAUGGGGAAAGGAAGCAUUCCGGGACGGGAUGGACCCGCGUCAGCUUAGCCAGUUGGCAGGGUAACGGCCUUCCAAAGCGAGGGUCAGGAGCCGAUCUGGGAGGGGGCACGGGUACAGUGGGAAUGAGACACGGACCCGACUCGUACGGAGCGGAGCAGUAGGGAGUAUUGCACAAUGGAGCCAAAUGCGACGACGCGGCGCCGGGUGAGUGGAGCAGUAUUUCGGUAUGUAAAGCCCCAUCAGCAGGAGAGAAAAUGACGGUAAUUGACAAAGAAGCACCGGCUAACUACGUG
rnacentral:rRNA from 1 species